GGGCGCAUAGCUCAGCAAGGUAGAGCGGUGGGCUCUUAACCCAUUGGUCGGGGGUUCAAGUCCCUCUGCGCCCG
rnacentral:tRNA from 1 species